rnacentral:rRNA from 1 species
AUUGAACGCUGGCGGCAUGCCUUACACAUGCAAGUCGAACGGUAACAGGUUAAGCUGACGAGUGGCGAACGGGUGAGUAAUAUAUCGGAACGUGCCCAGUCGUGGGGGAUAACUGCUCGAAAGAGCAGCUAAUACCGCAUACGACCUGAGGGUGAAAGCGGGGGAUCGCAAGACCUCGCGCGAUUGGAGCGGCCGAUAUCAGAUUAGGUAGUUGGUGGGGUAAAAGCCUACCAAGCCAACGAUCUGUAGCUGGUCUGAGAGGACGACCAGCCACACUGGGACUGAGACACGGCCCAGACUCCUACGGGAGGCAGCAGUGGGGGAAUUUUGGACAAUGGGCGCAAGCCUGAUCCAGCCAUGCCGCGUGCGGGAAGAAGGCCUUCGGUUGUAACCGACUUUGUCAGGAGAAAGGUUACUGGCUAAUAUCCGGGACGUCAUGACGGUACC